UGGGGAAUAUUGGACAAUGGGCGAAAGCCUGAUCCAGCCAUGUCGCGUGUGUGAAGAAGGUCUUCGGAUUGUAAAGCACUUUAAGUUGGGAGGAAGGGCAGUAAGCGAAUACCUUGCUGUUUUGACGUUACCGACAGAAUAAGCACCGGCUAACUCUGUGCCAGCAGCCGCGGUAAUACAGAGGGUGCAAGCGUUAAUCGGAAUUACUGGGCGUAAAGCGCGCGUAGGUGGUUCGUUAAGUUGAAUGUGAAAGCCCCGGGCUCAACCUGGGAACUGCAUCCAAAACUGGCGAGCUAGAGUAGGGCAGAGGGUGGUGGAAUUUCCUGUGUAGCGGUGAAAUGCGUAGAUAUAGGAAGGAACACCAGUGGCGAAGACGACCACCUGGGCUCAUACUGACACUGAGGUGCGAAAGCGUGGGGAGCAAACAGG
rnacentral:rRNA from 1 species